AGUUCAUGAUAAGGGCAGCUUCUUAAAAGCUCCUUAAAUUUCUCCCAAGCCUCUUGAAGUGUUUCAUCUUCUCUUUGAGAGAAAGCCACAAUCUCUUGUCUAAGUCU